AUGCCAUGUUGGGGAUACUUUCUGAGUAGUCCUUUAAAUCUUUCCCAGGCCUCGUAGAACGAUUCACUUUCUUUUUGUUCAAAAGCGGUGAUUUCUGAUUUGAGCCU